GUCAAAGGUCGAGAUUGCACUAAAUGGAAUUACUGUAAAAUUGAAAUUAGUUGAAGCAGAUGAUGUGUUAUACUCCUUUGGUUAUCGAAUCUUCAUCUGCCUGCAACUAAAGAGAUUAAAGCCAGAUCAUGUCAUCAAUUGAGGGUACAAUGCAAAAAAACCUUCAAGACGAGGUGCAAGAUUGCAAUGCUCGAGGCACAUGAUUUUUUAGUGAAUUGACCUGGUUGAAAAAUUUUGGAAUUGUCAUUUACCUUUAGGGGCUAUCCUCGCAAAUAUUAAAAGAAAGAGUGAUUGAUUAGAGAUUUAAAGAAUA